rnacentral:rRNA from 1 species
AUAUCUAAGGUUUCCAGAGUAAAGCUGAUCUGCUCUGGGUAAGUCGGGGCCUAAGGCGAGGUCGAAAGACGUAGUCGAUGGAUAACAGGUUGAAAUUCCUGUACUAUCCUGUAACAGAACUGUGGGGACACAGGCAGAGAGCGUGAGCCGGGAAUGGAAAGACCGGUACAAGCGAGGUAGGAGAAGAGUUGGCAAAUCCGCUCUUCAAUCUGAAGACGUGAUGUGGACUGAAAAUAAGUAGGGAAGCACGUGAGCUGACUGUCAAGAAAAGCCGCUAUUGUUUGCAGGAUACCCGAACCGUAAACCGACACAGGUGGAUGAGGAGAGAAUCCUAAGGCCGACGGGAGAAGCAUUGUUAAGGAACUCGGCAAAAUGACUCCGUAACUUCGGGAGAAGGAGUGCCAGUAAGGUGGCCGCAGAGAAUUGGCCCAAGCAACUGUUUAGCAAAAACACAGGUCUAUGCAAAACCGAAAGGUGAGGUAUAUGGGCUGACGCCUGCCCGGUGCUGGAAGGUUAAGGGGAGAGGUUAGCGCAAGCGAAGCUUUGAACUUAAGCCCCAGUAAACGGCGGCCGUAACUAUAACGGUCCUAAGGUAGCGAAAUUCCUUGUCGGGUAAGUUCCGACCCGCACGAAAGGCGUAAUGAUUUGGGCACUGUCUCAACAAUGCACCCGGCGAAAUUGAAAUACCAGUGAAGAUGCUGGUUACCUGCGCCAGGACGGAAAGACCCCAUGGAGCUUUACUCCAGCUUGAUACUGGGAUUCGGUAUUGCAUGUACAGGAUAGGUGGGAGGCUAGGAAAUGGUAACGCCAGUUGCCAUGGAGCCAAUGUUGGGAUACCACCCUUGCAGUACUGGGUUUCUAACCAGCAGCCGUGAUCCGGCUGGGGGACAAUGUCAGGUGGGGAGUUUGACUGGGGCGGUCGCCUCCGAAAGGGUAUCGGAGGCGCUCAAAGGUUCCCUCAGAAUGGUUGGAAACCAUUCGAAGAGUGCAAAGGCAGAAGGGAGCUUGACUGCGACACCGACGGGUGGAGCAGGUACGAAAGUAGGACUUAGUGAUCCGGUGGUAUAAAGUGGGAUUGCCAUCGCUCAACGGAUAAAAGCUACCCUGGGAUAACAGGCUUAUCACUCCCAAGAGUUCACAUCGACGGAGUGGUUUGGCACCUCGAUGUCGGCUCAUCGCAUCCUGGGGCUGAAGUAGGUCCCAAGGGUUGGGCUGUUCGCCCAAUAAAGCGGUACGCGAGCUGGGUUCAGAACGUCGUGAGACAGUUCGGUCCCUAUCCGGCGUGGGCGUAAGAUAUUUGAGAGGAGCUGUCCUUAGUACGAGAGGACCGGGAUGGACUGGCCGCUGGUGUAUCUGUUGUCUUACCAAAGGCAUAGCAGAGUAGCCAAGCCGGGAAGGGAUAAACGCUGAAGGCAUCUAAGCGUGAAGCCCCCCUCAAGAUGAGAUAUCUCAUAACGUCAAGUUAGUAAGACCCCUUGAAGACGACGAGGUAGAUAGGGCAGAGGUGGAAGUGUGGUAACACAUGGAGCUGACUGUUACUAAUAGGUCGAGGGCAUAACC